UGCUGCUAGAAGUUUCACUUUUGGGGAAAGCAAUUUGGCAAGAUGUGUAAAAACUGUAACGUGUAUUUUUUUUUACUUAAUUGAAUUUUUAGGAAUUAUUCUAAUAUACACAUGCAAGAAUAUGUACAGUUGUGCUGAAGUAUUGAUUCUAAUAGUGAAAUGAUAUAGUUAUAAAACCAAAAAAGAAACAAUUUAUUAAGUAAAUGAAGCCAGAAGAUGUUUGCACAGAAAUCUAUACAUCAAAACUGGGAUCAUGCUUUAUAUAUAAUAACCAUUUAUAAUCAUAUUUUAACAGUGGAAAGCAUUUUGAGGUUAGCACCUAUUGUUUGCUGGUCAAUAUCAGUUUCUCCUAAUUCUUGGUUAUGACAUCUCUCGACUCCUUUGUAAACUACCACUUUGGUUUGACCUUUUCCCACUUCCAGGGUAGAAGCUGGUUGAUUUAAACAAAUAAUCAUGUGGUAUUCUCCUGACCACAGUGAUGCUGCAGAGGUGAACAACACAUCAUAAGCAAGUGGCUUCAGGGACUGUUGGCAGUCAUCUUUGCAUCAUUAGGAGGGAAACAAGAAGGAGCUAAAGGAGCUAAGAAGUAGAGAUGGGAAAUGGUGAGAGAAAAACUAGGUUCUCUUCACAUCUUUGAGCCCUGGGUAAAGCUCUGUCUGAAGCAAUAUUAUGUAUCAGCUCAGACUCUUCAGGUGAAUAUUCAGUUAUCAACUUGAAAUCUGAUAAAUGUCUUCUUCAAGUUACUGACAUUAUUACCAACUAGCUGUGAUGGUAGUCUGUUGUACCAUAACAUUACUGAACAUGCAUGGAGUUCAGAGCUGCCAGAUGGUGAUGAAGCUGGCACUCAGCUCUUUCACUUGUCAAGGCCAAAACAAGAGAUGAAACCAAAGAGCAGAUUUUGGAUGAAUAUGGAGGCCAAGGCCCAAGUAUUCCCAGUCAGUGUGGACCUCAGUCCUGAGAAUGGUGUUGCGCUUCAGUAAAGAAUUAUUGACAUGUUGAUUGAUCCAUUCUACCAAGCAGUUUUCUGCAAAGCAGUUUCUAUGAUGAUCUCCUUUAGAUACACACAACCUUUGAAUAACUUAAUAAAUGAUAUUUUCUGGGUCUACUUGGAAUUUUUCUCAUUUUCAAGGCCUUAGACUUAUGGAUUUAGAUCAGAGUUUGGGCUGGAGGUAGAGGGCUGACCACAGACAUAAUAUGUUUCUGGCCUAACCAAUAAAUGGAUAAAGUAAUGAAGUGAACACC